rnacentral:tRNA from 1 species
AUAUAUUGUUGCUAAGUGUUCACACUUAUUGGUUCUUUGUAAGAAAAAUACGAAUUUGGGUUUAAGGGUGUAGGAAAUACUUUGACUCGAAAGGGUCUGUAGCUCAGUUGGUUAGAGCACACGCUUGAUAAGCGUGGGGUCGGUGGUUCAAAUCCACCCAGACCCACCAAUAGGGGGUGUAGCUCAGCUGGGAGAGCACCUGCUUUGCAAGCAGGGGGUCAUCGGUUCGAUCCCGUUCACCUCCACCAUUUAAAUCAUAGAUUUUAAAAUUCGGUUUUUUGUUCUUUAAAAAAUAAAUAGAAAUUGGGUAAGAUUGUGUUUUUAAAAAAACACAUAAUCUAUAUUAAUAAGAAUUAAUUUUUAUUAAGUUUUCAAGAUUAUAG